CCCGCACAAGCGGAGGAACAUGUGGUUAAUUCGAUGAUACGCGAGGAACCUUACCUGGGCUUAAAUGUAGAGUGCAUUUUUAGAGAUAGAAAUUCCCUUCGGGGCUUUCUGCAAGGUGCUGCAUGGUUGUCGUCAGCUCGUGCCGUGAGGUGUCGGGUUAAGUCCCAUAACGAGCGCAACCCUUAUCGUUAGUUGCCAUCUGGUAAUGCAGGGGACUCUAGCGAAACUGCCACCGUAAGGUGAGAGGAAGUGGGGAUGACGUCAAAUCAGCACGGCCCUUAUGUCCAGGGCUACACACGUGUUACAAUGGUCGGUACAGAGGGCAGCUACCUGGUGACAGGAUGCUAAUCUCGAAAACCGGUCUCAGUUCGGAUCGAAGUCUGCAACUCGACUUCGUGAAGCUGGAUUCGCUAGUAAUCGCGCAUCAGCUAUGGCGCGGUGAAUACGUUCCCGGGCCUU
rnacentral:rRNA from 1 species